rnacentral:rRNA from 1 species
AUUGAACGCUGGCGGCAGGCCUAACACAUGCAAGUCGAACGGUAACAGGAAGCAGCUUGCUGCUUCGCUGACGAGUGGCGGACGGGUGAGUAAUGUCUGGGAAGCUGCCUGAUGGAGGGGGAUAACUACUGGAAACGGUAGCUAAUACCGCAUAAUGUCGCAAGACCAAAGAGGGGGACCUUCGGGCCUCUUGCCAUCGGAUGUGCCCAGAUGGGAUUAGCUUGUUGGUGGGGUAACGGCUCACCAAGGCGACGAUCCCUAGCUGGUCUGAGAGGAUGACCAGCCACACUGGAACUGAGACACGGUCCAGACUCCUACGGGAGGCAGCAGUGGGGAAUAUUGCACAAUGGGCGCAAGCCUGAUGCAGCCAUGCCGCGUGUAUGAAGAAGGCCUUCGGGUUGUAAAGUACUUUCAGCGGGUAGGAAGGGAGUAAAGUUAAUACCUUUGCUCAUUGACGUUACCCGCAGAAGAAGCACCGGCUAACUCCGUG